AACGAACGCUGGCGGCAUGCCUAACACAUGCAAGUCGAACGAGACCUUCGGGUCUAGUGGCGCACGGGUGCGUAACGCGUGGGAACCUGCCCUUAGGUUCGGAAUAACUCCCCGAAAGGGGUGCUAAUACCGGAUAAUGUCUUCGGACCAAAGAUUUAUCGCCUUUGGAUGGGCCCGCGUUGGAUUAGCUAGUUGGUAGGGUAAAAGCCUACCAAGGCGACGAUCCAUAGCUGGUCUGAGAGGAUGAUCAGCCACACUGGGACUGAGACACGGCCCAGACCCCUAGGGGAGGCAGGGGGGGGGAUUAUGGAACAGGGGGCGAAGGCCUGACCCAGAAAUGCCGGGGGAGGGAGAAGGCCCUUGGGGUUGAAAAGCUUUUUUACCGGGGAGGAAAAGAACAGUACCGGGAGAAUAAGCCCCGGUUACCCCCGU
rnacentral:rRNA from 1 species